AUUGAACGCUGGCGGCAGGCCUAACACAUGCAAGUCGAGCGGAUGAAGGGAGCUUGCUCCUGGAUUCAGCGGCGGACGGGUGAGUAAUGCCUAGGAAUCUGCCUGGUAGUGGGGGAUAACGUCCGGAAACGGGCGCUAAUACCGCAUACGUCCUGAGGGAGAAAGUGGGGGAUCUUCGGACCUCACGCUAUCAGAUGAGCCUAGGUCGGAUUAGCUAGUUGGUGGGGUAAAGGCCGACCAAGGCGACGAUCCGUAACUGGUCUGAGAGGAUGAUCAGUAACACUGGAACUGAGACACGCUCCAGACUCCUCCGGGAGGAGCCAGUGGGGAAUAUUGGACAUGGGGGGAAGGCCUAAUCCAGCCAUGCCGCGUGUGUGAGGAAGGUCUUCGGAUUGUAAAGCCCUUUAAGUUGGGAGGACGGGCAGUAAGUUAAUACCUUGCUGUUUUGACGUUACCUACAGAAUAAGCACCGGCUAACUUCGUG
rnacentral:rRNA from 1 species